rnacentral:hammerhead_ribozyme from 1 species
AUCUAACUGUCGAGUCCCAAAUAAGACGAAUAGUGAGUCCUAGAU